ACAGUGCCUGGUGGGUAGUUUGACUGGGGCGGUCUCCUCCCAAAGAGUAACGGAGGAGCACGAAGGUGGGCUAAUCACGGUUGGACAUCGUGAGGUUAGUGCAAUGGCAUAAGCCCGCUUGACUGCGAGAAUGACAAUUCGAGCAGGUGCGAAAGCAGGUCAUAGUGAUCCGGUGGUUCUGAAUGGAAGGGCCAUCGCUCAACGGAUAAAAGGUACUCCGGGGAUAACAGGCUGAUACCGCCCAAGAGUUCAUAUCGACGGCGGUGUUUGGCACCUCGAUGUCGGCUCAUCACAUCCUGGGGCUGAAGUCGGUCCCAAGGGUAUGGCUGUUCGCCAUUUAAAGUGGUACGCGAGCUGGGUUUAGAACGUCGUGAGACAGUUCGGUCCCUAUCUGCCGUGGGCGUUGGAAGAUUGAAGGGGGCUGCUCCUAGUACGAGAGGACCGGAGUGGACGAACCUCUGGUGUUCGGGUUGUGUCGCCAGACGCAUUGCCCGGUAGCUAAGUUCGGAAUCGAUAACCGCUGAAAGCAUCUAAGCGGGAAGCGAGCCCUGAGAUGAGUCUUCCCUGAUACUUUAAGUAUCCUAAAGGGUUGUCGGAGACUACGACGUUGAUAGGUCAGGUGUGUAAGUGCUGUGAGGCAUUGAGCUAACUGAUACUAAUUGCCCGUGAGGCUUAACCAUACAACACCCA
rnacentral:rRNA from 1 species